rnacentral:rRNA from 1 species
GUGUUUCCAGGUUGUGUUCCUCCUCCCCUCGGCUUCUUUUUGGGGUUUAAAGGGAGGUUGUUCUCAGGUUAAGAAUGGAGCUUUCUAGGUUUGGGAUCGGGUAGGUUCUAGGUAGCUAGGUGGGACGCCGACGCCAGAGUGGUGGUGGUUGGGCUGCCUGCCUUAGGCCAGGAGGAGUUGGGAGCCGGAGCGUUGACGGUGGUGAUGAGGGCCUGCCUCUGGGCUCCGGUUAUUUGUUUGGGCGGGCGGCAUUUUCUGAGCUAAAAAUAGGGUGGAGCCGACGGCGGCGGAGGGAGGCGGCCGGGCCGGUGCGCGCCGCCGUACCGCAAGGAGUAGGCGCGCGGCGAGUGGAGGAAGCUGCUGAGGCCGCUGCUGCUGCUCCCCAUGCGUAGGAGCGAGAGGAGGCCGCGGCGCAGGGGCAGGGCGAGCGGUAGCUGGAGCGGGGGGCACCGGGUCGGAGCGGGCGCGGGGCAGGAGCCGCGCGGCGCCCACCGGCGCGUCGAGAGGAGGAGGUGCCUGCUGCUGCGGCUGGACAAGCUGCUGCGGCGGCCGAGCAGGCCCCUGCUCCACGAGCUCCUCCAGAGGUUGCCGAAGAAGGCGUAGCGGGCCCACGGGGGCGGCGGCGGGAGGGGGAGGAGGCUGCUCCGGUGCCGGGGGAGCGGGGGGCGAAGGCGCCGGCCCCCGCCGAGAAGGCGCAGGAGGCCCCUCUCGCUCAUGAAGCCGCGCCGCCUCCCCCGGCUCCUCCUCCUCCGGCGGCGGCUGCACAAGCAGCUGCGGCCUCGCCCCUCGCCCGACCUCCUCCUACCGCCGCAGAAACGCCGGAGGCGCCCGCGCCAGCGGCUCCCGAGCGACCUACCCUCGAAGCAGUCGAGGUACUCGCACGACCUGCUGCCGCGACGCAAGUCACUAAACCGACAGUUGUAACACCUCGAACUCGGAAGGUAACCACUGCGACCACCGUGGGCGUAACACCUACGAAGUCUCCCCCUACGACCCCCCAGAGCCGUCCUCGUUCAACAGCACCUUAACGGAGGACGCCACUUAAGAAGAGUUCUUCUUCUUCUACGACCAGAACUGGAAGAGUUACUACUGAGACUACGUUUUCUAUGGUGUGGGUUCGUACUCCAACGACUUAACGGAGUACACCAGUCAAGAUGUCUUCGUCUUCCAUAACCGGGACUUCAAGUGUUACGACUAAGACUACGCUUUCUAUGGUGCGGGUUCGUACUCCAACAGUGUGUAAGACUUCUACGGUCGGGACUUGUACAACGGUGUUCUCUACGGUGGCAACUCGGACGCCUUCAAGUAUGGUUACAACUAUCGAGUGUCAAAUGACAACUUCCACCGGUAGUGUUCCACCUACCACUUUGACUACCGCUAAUACUUGAAAGACUACUUGGACGCAGACGUGGUUAGCAACCCUGUUUGUUACGAAACCUUAGAGGACCUUUUCUUUACCUCCUGUCACACGGACGGAGGUUCCCGUGUGUGAAACCAGACCUACUAAGUCUACUCCUAGUCGACCUACCACUAAUACUUCAACUCCUCAACUCACCUUUCCUCUGACUCGAAAAACUAAUACGUCGAAAUCGACUCGAAGAGUCCCGCCGUUUGUCUAGUGGACGUGUCCCGUUCCGGUUCCACAAAGGUCAACUUUGGAGACUAAGGUAGGCUGGCAGGGUAUGGCACCAGCCACAGGGAUCCUGUUCACACCGAAGAUGAGUACGCCACCUACGUUAACGACUGGGCCUCUCGUGCUACUGACUACUCCUCUUCUUCAACAUGUAUUUCCACCUGUACCGUGCUUAGUUCAUAAACGCAGAACACAUAUCUAAUCCCAUACUGUGGCUUGUAGUCCAUGGACAUGUCCACAAUAUAGCCGAGUCAGAGCAGCUUCCGAAGUCCGCGUAUUCCUACCGUUUGGUAAGGAGGCUCGAACUCUUACGGACCUCGUCCCGAAACGUCGAACUCCGUCUCCCUUAUCUACUGAACCUUAAGAGGACGUUACAUAACCAGGAACCCUUCUGUCCCCACCCUUUCUCACGUUGUUAUUUGAGGUAGAAACCGCUCCUAUUUAGGUUUUGUUUACGAAAAGAGGGUCGUUGUACAAGGCACUUCCUCUAAUGACCUCAACAACCACCACAAUUUAAAGCACAGUAACUGUGAGGUCCUGAACCCUGAUGUCAAUCCCUACUUUUUAGUUUGUCCUUUUACGAGUUCAGACAAUUCUUCAUAUAGUUCUUUACGGGGGGACUGUAACAAAACAUACAACUAGCCUAGCUAUGGGUUGCCGUCCCACGACUGCUGGACAGGGAUAACGUUACAUAAUGGUCACAGGAUCCGGACGGUUAUACCAGGUUCCGGUAAUAGUGAGAAUGAGUGAGUCGUCGUCUAGGAGGAGGACUUCCUGGAUCACCGAGGGGUUAAUUGAAACUCUACUAACACUGGGUAGCCUGAGUACGCGAAGUCGUUUCGUAGUCUGUCUGGUGAUUACUACGAGCCUAACUCUUAGGUCAGCGAGAACACCUUUUAGUAGUGGAAACAGCCUCCUUGUACCUCCCACUUUUCCACGAAGGAUUACCGGAAUAGACCUUCGCAGACGAGGAGGAGGACACGAUGAGUGACUUCUACCAACGACUCUAACUAUGAGAAAGUUGGGCGGCACGACGAGGAGGUUCGGAGAAACUAGAGGCAGCGGUCUACGGAGGUGAAGGAAUGAAGAAUAGUAGAAACAACGUUAGAUCUCUCGUGGGGUCCGCACGUUUACUUGUCUUCCAACUCUCACACCUGAGUCUACAACUAGGACUACUUAACAACCUACUGCUAGUUCUCCUACUUCUCAUACUGGUUGAAGGAGGGAAAUUCGGUAAUUCAUUUAGUGUCCAACGUUUUGAGAGGUUUCUCGUCGUCUUUGACAUAAAGCUACUCAUACUGAUGGCUUGGUUCGAAGAAGUCUUCUUCGUCAACUUCCUUGUCGCGUCUUCUAAUUUCCUUUACUUCUUCUCACUCCCGUUACUAGUACUACAUGAACACCCGUUACUAGUAGGACUACUGCUCAUACUGUUGCUCUCUAGAGAAUACGGUCUGACCCGGAACGGUAGAAGUAAACUAAGACUACUGGGCCAUAAAGCGAUAGCCACAGAACUCGGACGUUGCUUGGAAGACCGUGCACGACAAUGGUUGGGACUUCCUACCCUAGUACUGACACCCAAACUGCCACACUCGGAGGUUAUGUCGGUACUUCAACGGUUUUGUAAAGGUCGAAGAUACACCCAAGUUCAAUUGUUCCUGUUCUCCCUUAAGUGGUAAGUAAGCCUCAGGAGCUAUAGUCGAUUCGUAUCGCUCAUACGAAGUUGGGAACGUCCGAAGCUGUAUGUUUGGUACUACCUGGUCGAACGAAUGUGUGAGUCCCCCCUUUGGUUCAAGUCCUUGCGGUUCUUGUUACGGUGAUGACCUCCAGACAGGUACUGAAAUCGUCCUUUGUGGUACUAUUGACCUCGUUUCGAACUUCUGUUUGAAAGUCAACCAUUAACCAAUUGUGACCAUCGUUUGCGACCACGACACAGACACUUUCCACUAUGACGCGUACCUGACUUGCACCACGACUUGGACGAAGUUUUUCUGAUAGGGUAAUACCCGGAUCCGGAACGUUGAAACCCACGUAGUGACCAUUCCACCGUAUUUCUUACCUGAUGCCGACGUUUGAACCUAUGGGUCAAGAGGCACCCUUCCUGAAGUUUGUACCGUCAAGUACAACUACACUUGUUGUUCGAUUGACCUGCUCACUCGUAGUUCCGGUUGUCAAGUCUCGUAGACUGCUAACGAGAUAAUCCACAGAUAAGCUACCGUUACAUAUACACCUUGUCCUACGUAGGAGCACGUCUAGGCUUAUUACUCAUCGUGACCAAUCAAGACAUCAAAACUAAAGGAUUAUAAAAAAUAGGGACAGGGAGAACAAUCUCAAAGGUCAACAAGAUAAUUUGGUGACAACUUCAAAGAGGACAAGGAAUAACAUAGAGAUAAACACAACUGUAUCGACAUCUUAAAUACGUGUACAUACACCGUUUAUUGUGGUGUCUCAUCUACGGAUACUAAAACAACUAGUACGACCGCUAUUUAUAAAGACCAUAAAUAAGUACUUUUCAAACGUUAAAGCAACAC